GAUGAACGCUGGCGGCGUGCCUAAUACAUGCAAGUCGAGCGAACAGAUGAGGAGCUUGCUCCUCUGACGUUAGCGGCGGACGGGUGAGUAACACGUGGAUAACCUACCUAUAAGACUGGGAUAACUACGGGAAACCGGUGCUAAUACCGGAUAAUAUAUUGAACCGCAUGGUUCAAUAGUGAAAGACGGUUUUGCUGUCACUUAUAGAUGGAUCCGCGCCGCAUUAGCUAGUUGGUAAGGUAACGGCUUACCAAGGCAACGAUGCGUAGCCGACCUGAGAGGGUGAUCGGCCACACUGGAACUGAGACACGGUCCAGACUCCUACGGGAGGCAGCAGUAGGGAAUCUUCCGCAAUGGGCGAAAGCCUGACGGAGCAACGCCGCGUGAGUGAUGAAGGUCUUCGGAUCGUAAAACUCUGUUAUUAGGGAAGAACAAAUGUGUAAGUAACUAUGCACGUCUUGACGGUACCUAAUCAGAAAGCCACGGCUAACUACGUG
rnacentral:rRNA from 1 species